rnacentral:rRNA from 1 species
GUGGGGAAUAUUGGGCAAUGGGGGAAACCCUGACCCAGCGACGCCGCGUGAGGGAAGAAGGCCUUAGGGUCGUAAACCUCUGUUGUGUGGGAAGAAGAGCGUGACGGUACCACACGAGGAAGUCCCGGCUAACUACGUGCCAGCAGCCGCGGUAAUACGUAGGGGACGAGCGUUGUCCGGAUUUACUGGGCGUAAAGGGCGCGUAGGCGGUCAUUUAAGUCAGCUGUGAAAUGGUUUGGCUUAACCGGAUCAUGCGGUUGAAACUGGAUGACUGGAGUGCUGGAGAGGCAAGUGGAAUUCCAAGUGUAGCGGUGAAAUGCGUAGAUAUUGGGAGGAACACCAGUGGCGAAGGCGACUUGCUGGGCCGUAACUGACGCUGAGGCGCGAAAGCGUGGGGAGCGAACAGGAUUAGAUACCCGAGUAGUCC